rnacentral:rRNA from 1 species
GUUAUAGGGUCAAGCGAACAAGUGCAUGUGGUGGAUGCCUUGGCGAUCACAGGCGAUGAAGGACGCGGUAGCCUGCGAAAAGCUACGGGGAGCUGGCAAACAAGCUUUGAUCCGUAGAUGUCCGAAUGGGGAAACCCACUCCUUUUGGAGUAUCCAUGGCUGAAUACAUAGGCCAUGCGAAGCGAACGCGGUGAACUGAAACAUCUAAGUAACCGCAGGAAAAGAAAUCAACCGAGAUUCCCAAAGUAGUGGCGAGCGAAAUGGGAUGAGCCUUGCACUCUUUAUUU